CCCCCAGGGCGGGGCUGGACGCGUGAGACGGGGCGUGGCAGCAGUACGUGCACUGCGCUCUGAUUGGCUCCCCACCCGGAAGAGCAGCUGGUGGCUGCGCGGUGCGUGUCGUCGGGCCGCGCUGCGACCCAGAAGAAAACGGAGAUGGAGUUGGAGACGCGGCGGCGGGAUCAACGGCAGGACCAGCAGCAGCACCAGCAGCGGGACGCGGCGGCGGAGAAUGGUGGCCAGGCGAUGAUGUCGGGGCAGUCCUACUGGCUGGACCUGUGGCUCUUCGUUCUCUUCGACCUGGCGCUCUUCGUGGUCAUCUACCUGCUGCCGUGAGAGCACCGGAGCCAGAGCUGCUGUCUAAUCACAGGAUGCACCUUAUGAAAACAUGGAGAGGAAGAGGAAGACCAUUUGUGCAGUAUAAACAACUGGGAACACGACUCCAUUUGCAUCUGAAUGCAAGAGACAAAUGUGUACACUAUAUCAUAAUAUAUUUGUCUGUAUUCCAAGUAUUACUUAUAAGGUUUUUACCUAUUUGUGUUCACAGCUGUGCCUUGGAGGUCAUGUAAGCCAUCCUGACUGUGUACUUGCAUUAGUGCAUAAAAGUUUAAGCAGAAAUUAAGAUAAGUAUUGUUUGAAUAAAAUCAGCUUAAAGGACAGACUGUAGAGUGACUGAGAAUAAAAUACAGCUCUUAUGUAGA